UGGGGGAUAUUGCACAAUGGGCGAAAGCCUGAUGCAGCGACGCCGCGUGGGGGAUGAAGGCUUUCGGGUUGUAAACCUCUUUCGCUAUCGAACAAGGUCCGCUUAGGGUGGGUUGAGGGUAGGUGGAGAAGAAGCGCCGGCUAACUACGUGCCAGCAGCCGCGGUAAUACGUAGGGCGCGAGCGUUGUCCGGAAUUAUUGGGCGUAAAGGGCUUGUAGGCGGCUUGUUGCGCCUGCUGUGAAAACGCGGGGCUUAACUUCGGGCGUGCCGUGGGUACGGGCGGGCUUGAGUGUGGUAGGGGGGACUGGAAUUCCAGGUGUAGCGGUGGAAUGCGCAGAUAUCUGGAGGAACACCGAUGGCGAAGGCGGGUCACUGGGCCAUUACUGACGCUGAGGAGCGAAAGCAUGGGUAGCGAACAGG
rnacentral:rRNA from 1 species